rnacentral:rRNA from 1 species
CCAGACUCCUACGGGAGGCAGCAGUGAGGAAUAUUGGUCAAUGUCCGAGAGGCUGAACCAGCCAAGUCGCGUGAGGGAUGACGGCCCUACGGGUUGUAAACCUCUUUUGCCGGGGAGCAAAGAGCGGGACGCGUCCCGCCUCGAGAGUACCCGGAGCAAACGCAUCGGCUAACUCCGUGCCAGCAGCCGCGGUACUACGGAGGAUGCGAGCGUUAUCCGGAUUUAUUGGGUGUAAAGGGUGCGCGGGCGGCCCGGCAGGCAGGCGGGCAAAUCGCGGGGCUCAACCCGGCCCAGCCGGCGGAACUGCCGGGCUAGAGUGGGCGAGAAGUGCGCGGAAUGCGUGGUGUAGCGGUGAAAUGCAUAGAUAUCACGCAGAACGCCGAUUGCGAAGGCAGCUUACCGGCGCUCAACUGACGCUCAGGCACGAAAGCGUGGGUAUCGAACAGGAUUAGAUACCCGAGUA